GACAGAGGAUGCAAGCGUUAUCCGGAAUGAUUGGGCGUAAAGCGUCUGUAGGUGGCUUUUUAAGUCCGCCGUCAAAUCCCAGGGCUCAACCCUGGACAGGCGGUGGAAACUACCAAGCUGGAGUACGGUAGGGGCAGAGGGAAUUUCCGGUGGAGCGGUGAAAUGCGUAGAUAGUCAAGAGGAACACCUGAGGUGAAGACGGGGUUGCUGGGCCGACACGUGACGCUGAUAGCGCGAAAGCCAGGGAGCAAACGGG
rnacentral:rRNA from 1 species